rnacentral:rRNA from 1 species
UACGUAGGGGGCGAGCGUUGUCCGGAAUUUUUGGGCGUAAAGAGCUCGUAGGCGGUUUGUCGCGUCGGCCGUGAAAACUUGGGGCUUAACCCCAAGCCUGCGGUCGAUACGGGCAGACUUGAGUUCGGCAGGGGAGACUGGAAUUCCUGGUGUAGCAGUGAAAUGCGCAGAUAUCAGGAGGAACACCGGUGGCGAAGGCGGGUCUCUGGGCCGAUACUGACGCUGAGGAGCGAAAGCGUGGGGAGCGAACAGG